UCCCCUAGUAACUGCGAGUGAAGCGGGAAGAGCUCAAAUUUAAAAUCUGGCGGUCUUCUGGCCGUCCGAGUUGUAACCUGGAGAAGUGUUUUCCGCGUCGGACCGUGUACAAGUCUCCUGGAACGGAGCGUCAUAGAGGGUGAGAAUCCCGUCCAUGGCACGGACCACCGAUGCUUUGUGAUACGCUCUCGAAGAGUCGAGUUGUUUGGGAAUGCAGCUCAAAAUGGGUGGUAAAUUCCAUCUAAAGCUAAAUAUUGGCGAGAGACCGAUAGCGAACAAGUACCGUGAGGGAAAGAUGAAAAGCACUUUGGAAAGAGAGUUAAACAGUACGUGAAAUUGUUGAAAGGGAAACGCUUGAAGUCAGUCGCGUCUCACGGAACUCAGCCUUGCUUCGGCUUGGUGUACUUUCUGUGUGGACGGGUCAACGUCAAUUUUGGUCGGCGGAGAAAGGUUGAGGGAAUGUGGCGCCGUUUCGGCGACGUGUUAUAGCCCUCUUCCGCAUACGUCGGCUGGGAUUGAGGACCGCAGCGCGCCUUUAAUGGCCGGGGGUUCGCCCUACGUACCGCGCUUAGGAUGUUGGCAUAAUGGCUUUAAGCGACCCGUCUUGAAACACGGACCAAGGAGUCUAACAUGCUUGCGAGUGUUCGGGUGGAAAACCCUUGCGCGUAAUGAAAGUGAAAGUUGGGAGCCUCCGUAAGGGGGUGCACCGACGCCCGGCCCUGAAGUUCUCUGACGGUGCUGCGGUAGAGCACGUAUGUUGGGACCCGAAAGAUGGUGAACUAUGCCUGAUAGGGCGAAGCCAGAGGAAACUCUGGUGGAGGCUCGUAGCGAUUCUGACGUGCAAAUCGAUCGUCAA
rnacentral:rRNA from 1 species